CGCGGUGGGCAGGGUCUCAGGAGGCAGCCCUGCGCCUUCCGCUCGGCGAUCCUCCCCGGGGCGUGGCUCCCCGCAGGACGCACACCUGCCAGGACCGUCGCUAAGAGGAUGCUGAGGUUGGGGGUCCUCUCGGGGACAAAAUCAGGGCACUCUGAGGAACCCUCUGGGCGUUCAGGCCUGUCUGUGAAGCUAGCAGGCGGAGGACAAUGGGAGCAGGGCCCACUCAAUGUGAGGACGAUGAGGAUGAAAGUCUGAUGAUCUACUUCCACUUAAUAAACAGACCUGUCCAAAAUUGGAACUUGGCUAACAGGAUGCUGAAGAAAACAGUAUACUCCCUUGGAAAUGAGAUUCUAUACAUGCUGUAGAAUACUUGACAUUUAUUAUAAUCUUUUCUUAACUAUUCAGGAAAUAGUUUUUGUCCAUUUUAACAGGAUUUGUUAAAACUUUCUACAAUUGCUGUCAGAUAAAGGGAAAUUGCUAUUAGUGAAUUGCUUUUAUUCAGUCCAAAUAUUAUGACCUUUCUUCUAGGUCUCAGCAAUUCCUCUCCCUCCUCAUUUGGCAGGGCUAAUUUUUGACCUCUGGUAUGCAAUUACAAGACUCGUUUGUUCAUCUUGGCUGAUCUGCUCUCAGAAUAAACUGGAAUUCUCUUGUACUGUUGAUGGGUAAUUCCAGCUUUUUGUUCUUUACAGUUUUAAGGAGAAAAUUUUAUCAAUUCGGCAUUUGAAGUGAAUAAACAUCUUUUUAAAACUUACUUAACAGCUAACAUAACUCUUUUUAAUUGGAGCGUUUCACAUACAAGAAUACUUCAUGCCUUUUAG